GACAAGUUGGACCUGCCACAGUACUGCAAGCAAACAGGCGUACUGUUCCUGGUCCCCGGCCCGGAACAUUACAGAUCUUCAGUUCUUCUACAGAUUAUCUGAUGAGCCUUCAACUGAAACUCAGUGUUCGUUGUACAAGUCGCUUGGUGAUGGGAAGACUGGUUGUGAUCUGCAGGCGACUGACGUCACCAUCUUUGUUGGAUUUAUUGCAACAGUCAACAACACGCUGGUUAGGAACACCUUCAAGAAAGAUCUUUUAUGGGACGUGAGACCUCCUGCCCUCACAUGGAACAUCAC